AUGGAUGAAAUGCACAAGGAGGCAAUCAAAACCACCUAUCAUGAAGAUACUACCAGUACUGAUGGAUCAAGGACGGAUGUAUACGAUCCAUCGAAUCCUCCGUAUCCUCCAUGCCCUCCUGCUGUUGGACUUAGCUUAAGUGACUCUAUCCGUUUAGUAGCUAAGUGGUCACGUGAGAAAGAAGCUGCACUUGGUGCCCUCAGAGCAUCCAGUAUAAUCUUCCCAGAACGCAUCCCUAAGGAGGUGAAUCAUCUCUUCCAUGAUAAAGUGCACCAUUUGGCACCCAUCCUGGAUAAGGAUAGCGUCCGGCGCUUUCUCAGCUAUAUGGAGAGGAAUGGGCAGGGCAUGCAAUGGGAUUCGAUCAUCACCCCAGAGGCUUUGAACCAUAUGAUUUCACAAAAUGCGGUGAAAUGUGUCAAAAUUGUCUUGGAGGGCCAGGCACCUGAGCUUGAUGGGUGCCGAGCCGAUCCCAACUGCAUGAACCAGUAUGGGUACUAUCCCCUCCACCGAGCUGCUGAAUUUUUUUCGGUUGACAUGAUUCAGUUGCUCGUUCGCCACGGCGCGUCCGCCAAUCUACGCACAGCCGGUGCUGAGGUCAUCGAGGGCCUUCUCCCACUCCAUGUUGCAGUCGAGAACACGUGUAUGCAUAAGUAUCUGGAAGACAGUCUGUUUCCUAACCACGAGCAUUGGGAUUACACUGAGGCAGAUGCCAACUUUAUCUUCAAGCUCAUCCAUCUUCUGUGCCUACCUGAAAUGAAGAUCUUCUUGGAUACGACUCGGCUGAUUGCAAAAUACACAGAUAAUCUAUUGGAUGAGCUGUGGAAUUACAUAAAAGAGGGAAAGCUUGCCGAGACAGCCGUUUUGCUCAUGGCAGCUCAAGAGCAGAUACGCAUGGGAACUUCUCGCAAGAGAAAUGGAGAUAGUAAGCCAGAUGGGUUUGCUAUUACCUGUGACCGUAUUUGGAACAACAAUAUUGCUUUGCAGUCUGAGAAGGGUCAACAAGUGGAGGCAAGGAUAAAGCUUAAUAAUAUGGCAUUGAUGCUUGUUCAUGUAAUUUCCAAAGCUGGUGAAGGUCUUGAUUCAUACAUUCAGAAACAUCUAGAGGUGCCGUAUUUCAUGCAGGUGCCCCGUUUGGAGGUCAUUGAACGUGUUUCCUCGAUUCUCAAGGAUAAUGGUUUUUGUCCUACUAGUGAAUGGACAGAAAUUGGAAACCUCUGCCCCUAUGAGGAUGUGUUGUCCAGUGAGGAUAUACCUAACAAAUCUGGGGAAAGUGACUCAAGAUGGCAACGGGGACGAAACCCAUCGGGUUUUGCCUUCCCAAACCCAUCCCCACGAGAAAAUCGUAAACCCGUCCCCGUCCCCAUCACCGUGUGCGGGGCUAGUUUUCUGCCCGUCCCCUAA
rnacentral:rRNA from 1 species